rnacentral:tRNA from 1 species
GUAAUGAUAGUGCCUAGUGGACAUGGCAUCUGCCCGGUAAGCGGAACACUGUGGGUUCGAUUCCCAUCCCUUGAUACU